rnacentral:lncRNA from 1 species
AUGUAUUCUGCCCUCAUUCGGAUAUGUCGAGUUUCACUACUAACGUGAAUUCAGCCUAUUUCAAUCAUACAUAGUGUCACAGUGAUACCUCGAUUCAGUUCAUGUAUUCUGCUUACUGUAUUCUGUCCUCAUUCGGAUAUGGCGAGUUUCACUACUAACGUGAAUUCAGCCUAUUUCAAUCAUACAUAGCGUCACAGUGAUACCUCGAUUCAGUUCAUGUAUUCUGCUUACUGUAUUCUGUCCUCAUUCGGAUAUGACAAGUUUCACUACUAACGUGAAUUCAGUCUAUUUCAAUCAUACAUAGCGUCACAGUGAUACCUCAAUUCGGUUCAUGUAUUCUGCCCUCAUUCGGAUAUGGGGAGUUUCACUACUAACGUGAAUUCAGCCUAUUUCAAUCAUACAUAGCAUCACAGUGAUACCUCGAUUCGGUUCAUGUAUUCUGCUUACUGUAUUCUGCCCUCAUUCAAAUAUGGCGAGUAUGGCGAGUUUCACUACUAACGUGAAUUCAGCCUAUUUCAAUCAUACAUAGCGUCACAGUGAUACCUCGAUUCAGUUCAUGUAUUCUGCUUACUGUAUUCAGCCCUCAUUCAGAUAUGGCGAGUUUCACUACUAACGUGAAUUCAGCCUAUUUCAAUCAUACAUAGCGUCACAGUGAUACCUCGAUUCGGUUCAUGUAUUCUGCUUACUGUAUUCUGUCCUCAUUCGGAUAUGACGAGUUUCACUACUAACGUGAAUUCAGUCUAUUUCAAUCAUACAUAGCGUCACAGUGAUACCUCGAUUCGGUUCAUGUAUUCUGCUUACUGUAUUCAGCCCUCAUUCGGAUAUGGCGAGUUUCACUACUAACGUGAAUUCAGCCUAUUUCAAUCAUACAUAGCGUCACAGUGAUCCAACGAUUCGGUUCAUGUAUUCUGCUUAUUGUAUUCGGCCCUCAUUCGGAUAUGGCGAGUUUCACUACUAACGUGAAUUCAGCCUAUUUCAAUCAUACAUAGCGUCACAGUGAUACCUCGAUUCGGUUCAUGAAUUCUGCUUACUGUAUUCUGUCCUCAUUCGGAUAUGACGAGUUUCACUACUAACGUGAAUUCAGUCUAUUUCAAUCAUACAUAGCGUCACAGUGAUACCUCGAUUCGGUUCAUAUAUUCUGCUUACUGCAUUCGGCGCUUAUUUCGCCAUAUCAAUUUUAUUAUAUGCAAAUCAGUUAGUUACCCUACAUUUUAAUGUAUAAUACAUUCUGUGCCAUAUUCAGUUAUUCAUAUUUGCAGAUAAUUAUUGUUUGCCCACACUGCCGUAGUUAUACUUGUCAUCUUUGAGAAGAUCAGCAUUUGUUAUAUGUUAAUCAGGCCUCUUCCAGUCUCAGUACCGAUAUGUAUUCUGUAUGUCUAUCCUCAGGUUAUUCGGACACUCAUUUUGCCUUUAUUGUUUAAAGGAACACUAUAGAGUCAGGAACACAAACAUGAAUUCCUGACCCUAUAGUGUUAAAACCACCAUUUAGGUGGCUUGCCCCCCACCACUUAGCAAGUGUUAAAACACCUAUUUCUCAGUGCCUGUCGGGUCCAGAGGCGAUGGCCCUGCCCCUGACCCACCUUCUUGGUGACAUCAUCAGAAAUUACGAUUUUGAGCCAAUCCAAUAUCCAUAGGUAAAACAUUGGAUUGACUGAAAUCGGCAGAGGAGGAAUGGGGGCAUGACCAAACAUGAAUCAAUGCAUCUCUAUGAGGAAAGUUCAGAGUCUCCAUGCAGAGGAUGGAGACACUAAACGUCAGUCACACUGUGCAGCACUGCCCCAGGAAGCACCUCUAGCAGCCAUCUGAGUAGUGGCCAGUAGCGGUAUCUCUAGGCUGUAAUGUAAACACUGCAUUUCUCUCAAAAGAUAGAUCGUAGUCCUUUGUGACCAAAGGAAGCAUGGCUUUACCAAUCCCCAUGUUUGCAGGGUUGUAUUUAGCACGGUGUUUGUAUGUAAGCAUAUUUUUGUAUGGAGUGUGAUUGUGCAAUUGUGUUUGCGUGUGGUGUUGGAGUUUGAAUGCAAACGUGCAUUUAUGUUUAGUGUUGGUUUUUGAAUGUAGGGGUAUUCUUAUAUAGAAUUUUGGUGUUUAACACAGAAGUGUUUUUGGAUGUAGUGUUGACAUUUCCAUGCAGGAGUGUGUAUUUGUAUUUAAUGUUGGUGCUCAGACAUGCAGGUUCACAUACAGAUACACAGUAACAAACUGACAAACAUACUGACACACAAAUACAUACAUUGCCAGACAUACUGACACACCCAUACACUGACAGACUAAGUGACAGAUACACACUGUAGAGAUAUUGACACACUGUCACAGGUGGCGCUCCAGUGACCAGGACCCCUGUAUGCCUGAUGAUGGUAGGAGUCACAGUGUGGAAAUGAACAAUGAGGGUCUGGUGCAGGGUAACCACACUUCCCCCAGUGUUGAGCACCAGGGUUUGUCUGGCCACCUACCAGGGCUCUGAUGCAGCUUCUGCAGAUCCCAGGAGCUUGAUAAAAUGCAGAUAUGUAUUCAGUACUAGAAACAAGAGAAGAAGAACCCAGAACCGGACCAGGUCAGAAAACAGAAUCCAGAACAUGUACACAAGACAAGACAAGAAAUACAAGGCAAAGCAAGAGGAGAAAUAACCAAGUACAAUAUAUGUAAUUAACAUUGGAGAUUUAGACAUACAUAAAUUGCCAAGACUCACCUUAUCCUGGAGACACAAAAGUGAGUGCCGG